ACAUGUAUAUAUAUACACAUACAUAUAUAUACAUAUACACACAUACAUAUAUAUAUUCUUUUUCCUUUUAGCCACUUCCCUCUCCUACAUUUUCUAUCGGUUUUGCCUAAAUAGACGUGUUCUCAAUAUAACCAUGUUGAAGGUAUCCUGGGCUAGACUGCUAUUGAUUUUGUUGGUUAUGAUCUUUUCUUUGUUUUUCUGAAAAAUAGCCUCUCCUGGUUCCACAUUUUCUCAAAUUCUAUGUAACAAAGAAGUGGAUAGUAAACAAAUGACAUGCUAGGCUGAUCUAUUACAAUCAUUGAAAGAAAUAAGGAAGAGCAGAAAUCUCUACCAGUCCAGAUACACACAUAUAUAUAUGUGUGUGUAUAUAUAUAUAUAUAAAACCAUGGAACCUGCCAAACACUAAUCCUAGCCAACUUCAAUCCUUCUUUCUCUUAACUAUCUUCUCUGAAUAAGUUCUGGACAUCACCUUAAAAUAAGUUUUUAGGAGAGUAAUAUAUAUUCAUGGGAUUGUGAGGGAGCAUUGUACAGCUGUUUUCUUCUCGGUCACUGUGGUGAUUUUCCUAGAUGCUAUGGAAAGGUUUGUUCACUUAUAAGAUUAGGACUUUUCUUAAAUUCUUAAAUUCCUCAUUAAAUAUGAACCUAAGGUAUACCCGUCAUUUACCUUGAUUCCCAUAUAAUUUGUAUAGGUCAUAUAUAAGUCAAUUAACAAAAUAAAAAAUAAAUAAUUGGAUUCCUUCUAUCAAUACAAAGACUUGUGCUUAAAACCUGUUAUUCUUUUUUAAGCCAGACUAAACAGUAACAUAAAAAAAUGGUAUCAGCCUAACAUUAAAUCUAAGGUUACUUCUCACAUACAUCAUAAAGUCAGCCAUCAUCUUUCAUGUAGGAUUUCUUGGGGUUUUCUUUUUGCAUAUAUAGAUCAUGUGUUACUUAAAUCCAAAAUACAUGUGUGUAUAUAUAUAUACAUAUAUAUGUAACUUAAUAUAAAUGUAUGAUGAGUUAUCUCAAUUGACUAUAAUCUUCUAAGUCAAAAAGAAAACAUUUCAGUACAUAAUAUAAAAAGAACUGAACAUUAACAGUAAUGGGAAAUUCAUAAUGACUAAAUAUGAAAUAAGCUUUGUCUUUGCAGUUACAAACUAAUUCUUGUACAUUUUCCCUCUCACUAAAAAAAAUAACUAAUUGAUAGUUGCCAUUCACAUGAACAAGGUAUGAUCAGGUUUGGGAUCGUACACCCAAAACCUAUGUUUCUUUACCUUAUAUUCUUAAAACUUGAGACAUGAUUUUUCUAGAAUAAAUUAAGAUUUCAUGUACAAUAGAGUCCUUUUCCUAAUACUGUUAUGGAGAAACCAAGUUGACUACCUUAUGAGAGAUCAGAUAUUUCCCUUAUCUCAUUAUAUUCACAGCAUAUGUUUGGACAUGCAUUUCACCAAGAACCAUGUAGUAAUAAGAUAAAUGGUAACUGAGGCACUGUGAAAUUUUUAGAACUUGAUUCCCCAGGACAUGGUAUAGCAAACUAAACUAUUUAUUCGAAAGUAACCCAACUAAUUAAAGUGAAAAAAAUUAUUGAAUCACAAUGAACAAACAUAAAACAACACUUAAAUGAGAAUUCUGCGUCUUUUUUGGUUUUAUGUGUGAUUUAUUUUGUCCUGUAUUAAGGAAAGGUUAUCCUUAUCAUUCUUCUAAUAUGUUUUGGUUUCUCUAAUAGUUCAUUUUCCUUUAGGUUGUUGAAAAUUAGGGCAGUUUGUCCGGAACCUUACUCACAGGAGACACCAGGACCAACCCAUGCCUAGAUUUCUGUUAAUAAAAGGGAGAAAGGUAUUUGAACAGGUAGUAAAGGCGGUACAAGUUUAAGGGAGCAGGGUUAACAUAUGUACUAGGUGAGAUUUCUAUAAAUGUCUGAAAAGUUACAUGCAUAGCCAUUGGCUCAGGUAAUUUCUCUGAAUUUGAACUUAUUUGAUUUAUUUAACCAAGUUAUUAUAAUAUGCAGUUCUCUUUAAUCAAUCUUCUAUUAUUCAAUCAUCUAUCCAUUUGUUAAUUCAACAAAUAUUUAUUAAAGUGCCUACCAUGAUUAUGUGCUGUAGAAAAGACAAGGACAUUUACUAAGGGGGAUUGUGGGCCCAAUGGGCAUCAUGAGCAUGUUUGAAGCAAAAGACAAUAAUCACAUCCAACGGCACCAGUUCAGCUCAACUUUAGAAUUCAGCAGUAAUAGUACAGAUGGCCUAAAGUACAUCUGUGUGUAUCUGUACAUGUGCACACACCCAUGUAUAUAUAUUUAUCUAUCUGUACAAACACUACAUAUGUAUACACACUAUCUAUGUAAAAUAUAAUAUAUGUAUAAUGCAUAUAAAUUCUAACAAGUGUAUUUGUGUUAUCUUUAAAAUAGAACAAUUGUAUCUUGAAGUGGUAAAUGCAGAGAAUUGGUUUUAUUGUUGAUCUGUGGAUUUAAUGAUUUUUAGGUGAAAAGGAUGUUUAAGUGUACAAUUUCUUUUCUUAAUUUAAUAUAUUUAUGUAAAUGCAUGCCUGAAAUUUGGUUAGAUUGACUGUGUUUUGUGUCUUUUAACGUGAUCAAAUGAUUAAACUUUAUCUUAUGACUUGA